rnacentral:misc_RNA from 1 species
UUUAUCAAAGUUAUACUUCAGUAAAAUUGCUGAAACAUGGCGGAGAGACGCGAUGAUAGAAGUUACUCGUUUGAUCCCGUAUAUCGCCAUCUUCUGAGAGCCAGGGAUUUAAGUCAAAAUGCCGACGUUCCUCGGGACCUGAAGGCUGAAAUAAAUAGGGCUAUAGAGCUUUGUCAACAAAGAUGGCAAUAUUGUGAAGACCAAACAACAAAGCCUAGUCCAGCCCUUGCCCAUCUGAUUAAGGAGACCUUCGCUUAUCCGUGGGAAGAUGCUCACAAAGAAGGCAGGGUGUCAUACUAUGCGACUCCCAGGAUGUUGACUGGAAACCUUGAAGCCCAGUUAAUAAAACUUAUAACAAAUGCCAGCAAGGCUAACAUGGUCCUUGAAAUUGGACUUUACACUGGUUGUUCAUCACUUGCAAUGGCGGAAGCGCUUCCUAAAGACGGCAAAGUGGUCUCUUUGGAAAUCGACAAAGGCAUCGCGGAUGUGGCAAGAUCUUUUCUCAAUAGAUCGCCAGUAGGGAAUAAAAUUGAAAUUAUGAUAGGGCCAGCUUUAAACAGCCUGGAAAUCUUGGCAGAGAAGCAAGUGAAGUUUGAUGUUAUUUUCAUCGAUGCUGACAAGACGGGAUAUGUUCAAUAUUAUAAGACGAUUUUUGAAAAAGAUCUGCUAGCUUCGGAGGGAACGAUCAUUGUGGAUAAUGUUUUGAAAGAUGGAGACCCGUACUCUGGAGAGGAAUAUGAACCGAACUCGGGGGCGAUUUCAGAAUUCAACGAAAUGGUUCUCCGCGAUAAAAAUGUCCACAAGGUGAUGAUUCCUGUGAGAGAUGGAGUAUACCUCAUCAGGAGGAUGAAGGACUGAGAGAGAGCCUAAUCACGCUGUACUGAUUUAUAUAUUAACAAAUAAAUUAAUAGCAUAAU